rnacentral:misc_RNA from 1 species
GUAGGUGAACCUGCGGAAGGAUCAUUAUUGAAUAUUCUUGAUGGGUUGUAGCUGGCUCUCCGGGGCAUGUCCACACUUGUCUUGACUUUAUUCAUCCACCUGUGCACCUUUUGUAGUCUUGGGGGUUGAGAGCAGUCGACUAUCGGAUGGCUAUGGCCACUCCGGACGUGAGGAAUACUGAGUGCGAAAGCAUACAGCUCUUCUCAAAUGACUUGCUAAACCUCUCCCUCGAGUACUAUGUAUUCAUAUACCACAUAGUAUGUCGUAGAAUGUGAUCAAUGGGAUAAUCAUAUACAACUUUCAGCAACGGAUCUCUUGGCUCUC